UCGCUUUUUAAACUCAGUAUCUGUCGUGGUCACAUGGUUGAUCCCCAACAUUCAUUCCACGUGGAUGAGUCAGCUGAGCUGAGCAGGGUUAGUCUACCUCUCUCGUGAAUGAUGCUUUAGAUGGUUUAGAAGGAAAGUCUGAUCCAAGGAUUCUGGGAAAAAGUGACUGUUCAUCCCUCCUUUUGAUCCCUGUCAGUCAUUACUAGGUGUGAUGCAUGGAGCUGCUGCAGCCACCUUCGCACCAUGAGGCGAGCCUUAGGCUGAAGAUGGGGAUAAGAGGGAAAGGAGCCUGUGUCUUUGGUGAUGAUGCUGUGGAGAUGUUUAAUUGACCAGUAUUGGUGUCUGCCCUAUCUCUGGACUUCUCACUAUGUGAGGAUUUCCUGAUACUUCUCUUAGGACCUGUUUUUUUUCUACCCAUGGGUUCAAUAUGGCAGAUCACCCCACUCAUUGUCUAUUUCAACUUCCUUCUGGCACCUUCCUGGAUGUAGCAAUUGAAGCAUUAAAUGUCAGUUCCUCUGGUGGCUCUCGGGUUCCAGAUGCGAUUCAGUUUCCACUAAUCUUGACCAAGAUCUGGGGUCAGGAUUUGGUUAAGUGGGAAGAGAGGCUGUGCUGUGAGAGUCGUCAUUUGCUGCUGUGGAUCUAGUGGGGGUGGCGUGUUUCUGGGACCAAAAGUUCCUGACCCCUGGAGGGAGUAUAGCUGGUGUUGUGUGAUCACGGAGCUAGUGGCGAGGACAGUGAGUUUCUGAACACAGUCUUUUUUGAACUGCGUUCGUUUGAACAGUUUUUGCUUUUGUCACAGUAGCUGUUCCCUUGCUGGGCUGGCUCUGUGGGGUUAUUCUGGAAGUGACAUCCCAAGACCUCGCCUGGAGCCUGUUCUUCCAGUCCCUCGAUGAUUUUAUAAGCACUCGAUUUCUUGCAUUAAAAUUAUUUCUGCUAGAAA